rnacentral:lncRNA from 1 species
CCCAGAGCAGUGUUGAGUAUCCUCCAGUUCUGUCCUUUCUCAGGGUCAAGAACACACUUCCUAAAACCGUGCUGACUCAAGUUACUGCUGCUGAAGUGGCUUAAACAGCACUAACAUCGACAUCCAACUUUAUAAUCACAACUGCAAACCAACAGAUUCAUGCAUCGAACUCAUUCAAUUAUAAUAACAAGAAGCCCAGACUAACAACAUUAAUUUUAUAUGAUGGCGUGUGGAAGUGACUUGCCUCUCAGGUCUGGAACUGUUCCAAGCUGGCAGCCUUCACUUCUUCAAAUG